rnacentral:rRNA from 1 species
AGUAACACGUGGGUAACCUGCCCAUAAGACUGGGAUAACUCCGGGAAACCGGGGCUAAUACCGGAUAACAUUUUGAACUGCAUGGUUCGAAAUUGAAAGGCGGCUUCGGCUGUCACUUAUGGAUGGACCCGCGUCGCAUUAGCUAGUUGGUGAGGUAACGGCUCACCAAGGCAACGAUGCGUAGCCGACCUGAGAGGGUGAUCGGCCACACUGGGACUGAGACACGGCCCAGACUCCUACGGGAGGCAGCAGUAGGGAAUCUUCCGCAAUGGACGAAAGUCUGACGGAGCAACGCCGCGUGAGUGAUGAAGGCUUUCGGGUCGUAAAACUCUGUUGUUAGGGAAGAACAAGUGCUAGUUGAAUAAGCUGGCACCUUGACGGUACCUAACCAGAAAGCCACGGCUAACUACGUGCCAGCAGCCGCGGUAAUACGUAGGUGGCAAGCGUUAUCCGGAAUUAUUGGGCGUAAAGCGCGCGCAGGUGGUUUCUUAAGUCUGAUGUGAAAGCCCACGGCUCAACCGUGGAGGGUCAUUGGAAACUGGGAGACUUGAGUGCAGAAGAGGAAAGUGGAAUUCCAUGUGUAGCGGUGAAAUGCGUAGAGAUAUGGAGGAACACCAGUGGCGAAGGCGACUUUCUGGUCUGUAA